rnacentral:rRNA from 1 species
CACCGCGGUUAUACGAGAGGCCCAAGUUGAUGAAAAACGGCGUAAAGCGUGGUUAAGAAAACAAGAAAAAUAGGGCCGAACAGCCUCAAAGCAGUUAUACGCAUUCGAGGCCACGAAGCUCAAUCACGAAAGUGGCCCUACAAAUCUCUGAUUCCACGAAAGCCAUAAAA